rnacentral:rRNA from 1 species
UGAGGAAUAUUGGUCAAUGGACGAGAGUCUGAACCAGCCAAGUAGCGUGAAGGAUGACUGCCCUAUGGGUUGUAAACUUCUUUUAUACGGGAAUAAAGUGAGGCACGUGUGCCUUUUUGUAUGUACCGUAUGAAUAAGGAUCGGCUAACUCCGUGCCAGCAGCCGCGGUAAUACGGAGGAUCCGAGCGUUAUCCGGAUUUAUUGGGUUUAAAGGGAGCGUAGGCGGACGCUUAAGUCAGUUGUGAAAGUUUGCGGCUCAACCGUAAAAUUGCAGUUGAUACUGGGUGUCUUGAGUACAGUAGAGGCAGGCGGAAUUCGUGGUGUAGCGGUGAAAUGCUUAGAUAUCACGAAGAACUCCGAUUGCGAAGGCAGCUUGCUGGACUGUAACUGACGCUGAUGCUCGAAAGUGUGGGUAUCAAACAGGAUUAGAUACCCUGGUAGUCCACACAGUAAACGAUGAAUACUCGCUGUUUGCGAUAUACAGUAAGCGGCCAAGCGAAAGCGUUAAGUAUUCCACCUGGGGAGUACGCCGGCAACGGUGAAACUCAAAGGAAUUGACGGGGGCCCGCACAAGCGGCGGAACAUGUGGUUUAAUUCGAUGAUACGCGAGGAACCUUACCCGGGCUUGAAUUGCAACUGAAUGAUGUGGAGACAUGUCAGCCGCAAGGCAGUUGUGAAGGUGCUGCAUGGUUGUCGUCAGCUCGUGCCGUGAGGUGUCGGCUUAAGUGCCAUAACGAGCGCAACCCUUAUCGAUAGUUACCAUCAGGUUAUGCUGGGGACUCUGUCGAGACUGCCGUCGUAAGAUGUGAGGAAGGUGGGGAUGACGUCAAAUCAGCACGGCCCUUACGUCCGGGGCUACACACGUGUUACAAUGGGGGGUACAGAAGGCAGCUACACGGCGACGUGAUGCUAAUCCCUAAAGCCUCUCUCAGUUCGGAUUGGAGUCUGCAACCCGACUCCAUGAAGCUGGAUUCGCUAGUAAUCGCGCAUCAGCCACGGCGCGGUGAAUACGUUCCC